CACCCGCCGCUCCGUCUCCAGCAGCCGCAGCUCCAAGCGUAAUCCGGUGACUUCUAACCUUUGUUAUUUUCGUUAUUUCAUAUUCCAUUUUAUUUCAUUAUUUCAUAUUCCAUUCUUAGUAUUAUGCUAGUAGUAGCCCCUGUACCUUGACUUGCGUGGAAUUUGUGGACAUUGUCUAUUGUCUGUUGUUGCUGUUGCUGUUGCUGUGGUCGUCUCUUCCACUGCUUUGGAUUGGGUUAUUGGCUGGGAACCUGUAUUUGGGGCGGUGGGUGUUGAGUCCGGUGGUGUUUGCCCCCUAAUUGAGUAUAGAUUUGUUUCGGGAGUAUUCCUUUGAAUUUGUGUGAGCCUUGUAUUUCCUUGCUGCUGAUUUGAUACUACCACCGUGUAUAUCUGUAUAUUUUCCUAUACUUUCGUGUAGUUGUGGCUGUGGGCGGUAAUGGGUGGAUAGGGACAUGUUCGAGGGGGUUGGGGAGUGGGNN
rnacentral:lncRNA from 1 species